GACGAACGCUGGCGGCGUGCUUAACACAUGCAAGUCGUACGGUAAGGCCCUUUCGGGGGUACACGAGUGGCGAACGGGUGAGUAACACGUGAGUAACCUGCCCACAACUUUGGGAUAACGCUAGGAAACUGGUGCUAAUACUGGAUAUGUGCUCCUGCUGCAUGGUGGGGGUUGGAAAGCUCCGGCGGUUGUGGAUGGACUCGCGGCCUAUCAGCUUGUUGGUGGGGUAGUGGCCUACCAAGGCGGCGACGGGUAGCCGGCCUGAGAGGGUGACCGGCCACAUUGGGACUGAGAUACGGCCCAGACUCCUACGGGAGGCAGCAGUGGGGAAUAUUGCACAAUGGGCGCAAGCCUGAUGCAGCAACGCCGCGGGCGGGAUGACGGCCUUCGGGUUGUAAACCGCUUUCAGCAGGGACGAAGCUUUUUGUGACGGUACCUGCAGAAGAGGCACCGGCUAACUACGUG
rnacentral:rRNA from 1 species